rnacentral:lncRNA from 1 species
UUCAAGGUAUACUGUUUUUGGAAUGGAAAUUUCACUGCAUGCGACUGCUGAAUUAACUAUUAAUGCUUCCCAUGGUGCUUUAUUGUUUUAAUGAGUGAAUAUUUAAAUAAUCUACUAGUUUCUGGUACACAUAAGGUGAAGGACACUACACAUACCUCUAGAGGUGAUUCAGUAAACUAGACAUAAUUUGCAUCUGUUUUGGUUCUACCUUCAGCUCAAAACCACAAGGCAAAUAGUGAGCAUAGAUAACAAGUCUUCUAUAAACCCCAAGUCCAUUUCUCAUUAUAUAUAUAUAUAUAAUAAAAUCCAUUUCACCUGUUAUAAUUUACAUAUAUUUUAUACAUAUACAUGUGCAUAUUCAUAUAUAUAUAUAAAUACUGUUAAAGGUAAAGUUUAACUCUGUAAAGACUAAUUAAAAUGAGAUUUAAAACUUGUUUUAUGAACUUAAUCUCUAUAUACCUGAGAACUUUAUAUUAAUAAAACUGCAUUUAUCAGACUGUAGGUUAAACUCCCCUUCCUUUCCUGCCAGGGUAAUUGCUAGGCCUGUUGGCUCUGUGAAAUAUUGAAAUGAAAUUUUUGUUCUCUCUAUAACUGAUUUAGAAACUACAGUUUAUAUCCAGACACUUUAAAAGCUACCAAAAAAGCUUUGAGUUUUGCUUUAAUUUUAUUAUUGGUCAUGCAUUGAACCUUAGAUUACCUUGUCAUUAACUGCAGUUCAUUUUGCUAAGAAAAACUAAAAGUAAUGACUUUUUUUUGUAAUUAUCAAUCUCAUUCACUAUAUAUAAACACUGAUAGUUUUAAGUUAGUGAAUGUUAGACAAACUGCAUACUUUUGAUACAUAAAUUAAAUUUUUGUUGCAUAAAAUCAACGAACUUCUUUAUUUCUCCAUGAGUACUAGCAUUUGCUACUAAAAUUGUUCAGUAUAGUUGUUCAGUAUGAUGGGACCUAUUUGCCUCUAAGUUAGCAUGACAUGCAAUUUGAUUUGAAAAUCAAUGCAUUUUUAUUUCUCUAUUUUACUCACUUGCAGCAUCAUUAACUAGCUUCAUGUAACUGGCUUAACAUUUAAUAAUUACUAGAAUGAGAUUCCAUGUAGUUUGAUUUAAAUCUUUAUACUUUGAUUUCUUUUGGUGGUCAAUAGUCUUGCUGUAGCUAUUAGCUUGAUGACAUUAUUUCCAGCUGCACUGCUUAAGCGCAAAAUCUGAAACCUGCAACUGUGCUAUCUUUCUGAGUUCAAUUUUACCAUCGUAAGAUCACGAUGUCAUAAGCAAUUUUCUGAAUACUCAUUUUCAGAUUCAUCAUCUCAUUGAUGACAUUGUGGAAGUACUGUGUUAUAUAGCUCCAGUAUAACUAACUUUGCUCUCUCUCCUUACCUACCUUGUCUCAGGCCCCUACCAUUGAUAUUCGUCCCAGAUCAGCAACCAUUCAAAUGAACAAUGCCACACACCUUCAAGAGAGGGAUGAAGAAUAUGGCUAUGAGUGUUUGGAUGGCAAGGACUGUGCCAGUUUCUUCUGCUGUUUUGAAGAUUGCCGAACAGGAGCCUGGAGACAUGGGAGGAUACAUAUUCGCAUUGCCAAAAUGGACUCCUAUGCUCGGAUCUUCUUCCCUACCGCCUUUUGCUUGUUCAAUCUUGUUUACUGGGUCUCCUAUCUUUAUCUGUAAAGAGGUAUGGGUUUUAUUGAUAGGGGUGUUAUUCGCUGAAUCUUAUGGAGACAAAAUGCACUUUCUAAGUCCAACGAUAUAAUCCCCUAUGUGGUCACCGAAUGUGUUUCUCUGUCUCAACGUAGUAAUACAUAUAAUGUCAUACUAUCCAUGCCCAAUCCGUGGUUAUUGUAAUUUGAAUUUCAGCGUGCACUGUCCUUCAAACCUGCAAGGCAAAGUAAAGUUAGAACAAGAGCUGUUACACUGAGCAAGAUACCUUUGAGCAACAGCAAUGAAAACAGUGGAAGCUGGGAGGGUUUAAAGUGGCAUUAUCAGUCUUUGACUCAUAUAUAGUUUAGUACAAAAGGUAUAAAGCUGUGUACUAUGUUCACUUGGGAUCAAGUUGUGGUAAACUGGAAAAAAUUAGAAUACCUCCCGUAUCUGUGAAGAAUCACAAUAGAAAAGCCUAGAUUAGAAUUCUAUUAUACCUUUAUUCCAAGGUAGAAAGCAAAUUUCCUUCAUAUCAUAUGUACAGUGAUGUAAAUAUUUCAGUAAUGUAGAAUGCUUCAGGUUUAAUGCAUGCAUCUCUUUAGAGCCAAAAUAAAUGAACUCAUGUUAUCAUCAUAUAGCAUUGUCUUUUUUUUUAUUUCUUUGGGCUAUAAAAUAAUAUAUUAAUAUAAUUAUAAAAAUUUGGGCUUGAAAUUGAAGGGGGCUCACAACCUUCUCCCUCAUGCAUGAAAAUUCAGGUUUUAAAAUUAUGUUUGUCUGUACGACAUUAAAACACCUUAAGUACCAUUUAGGCUGACUGACAUUUGACAGCUCUAAAUAUGCCCAACUUUAUCACUAGAAUAUAAAGUAACUGUAUGUGCUUGCUAAUGUUUUACCUUACUUUGACGAUGUGCGUUCUCAACAGAACUUGCUCUCUAUUUCAAUAUCUGCUUCUAGUGACUGUGAACGCCUUGUAGGCAGAGUUCUUGUUGUUUCUUCUUUUACUUCUCAACAUCUUGCACUGUGCCUGGCAUAUAGUCAGUGCUCAAUAAAUAUGGCUGGGAGCAAUGC